UACGGGGGGGGCAAGCGUUGUUCGGAAUUACUGGGCGUAAAGGGCUCGUAGGCGGCCAACUAAGUCGGAUGUGAAAUCCCCAGGCUCAACCUGGGAACUGCAUCCGAUACUGGAUGGCUUGAAUUCGGGAGAGGGAUGCAGAAUUCCAGGUGUAGCGGUGAAAUGCGUAGAUAUCUGGAGGAAUACCGGUGGCGAAGGCGGCAUCCUGGACCGACAUUGACGCUGAUGAGCGAAAGCUAGGGGAGCAAACAGG
rnacentral:rRNA from 1 species